GAGAUGCUGGAAGCAUCUUCCACUUUUCACUUUCCUCUUCAAUUCUUCUCUUUGUCUUUCCAUUUCUCUCUAUUUCUCUGUCUGUCUUUCGGUUUUGAUUCCGACUGGAUCGUGUGGAAGGUUGUUUGGCCUGUUUUUCUCGCUGUUUUCCGCGGUUUAGGUUACUCGGAGAAGUCUGUGAAGGGUCAAUAGGACAAGGUGGAUCAAAGUGCAAAAGAUACAGGGCCUGCCUCUCUAUGCAUUUCCUAUCUUCCAAAAAUCGUGUUCGUGGAGACGAUUUGAGAUGGAUUUGAAGCUCGUCUACAGAGAUUUGAUUCAAAUUGGUGGAUUUGGUAUUCCCUAUUGUUCGCUGCUAAACAACUGCCUUCCUCAACAUUCGAGCUUUGCAUGCAAAAAUUCGUUUCAUGUUGUUUGAACCCAAAUUUACACCAUCGGCCCGUGUAAUUAAGGCCGUUGAAUGUGCAUAACUUCACAGUCAUAUGAAGAAAUUAAGAUAAUUUUAUUGUUAAGAGAUAAUAUUAUGAUUUUUAAUCAUAAUGAUUGUUUUUUAAUAGUGAAUUAUCUUGGUUUU